GCCUGGCUGGCUCAGUCGGUAGAGCAUGCGACUCUUGAUCUCAGGGUCGUGAGUCUGAGCCCCACGUUGGGCA
rnacentral:tRNA from 1 species